AUUUGGCAUCUUAAGCUUCAAUUCAACUCAACAGUGUGAGAGAACACGUUAACCAUAGUAGCACCAAUGCAGUAACGCUGCACAGAAAAACCAAAGUGCGGUGAAGAUUCUUAUGCUAAGUUUCCAAUCAUCGAUGGCUGCAUGUUCAAGCCAUCACUCUCACUAGCGUAGCUUAGCUUAGGUUACUUUUGCAACCGAAAGAGAAAGAAGAAGAAAAAUAGGGGGGGAAUGCAAUCGUUACGCAUAAAGAGUUUAGGGGAUUUACGGUUAUUGAGCUCGACCACGACGAAUCGGAAGAGGGAAUGGGCGAAUUGCAGCAUGAGAAGGAGAGUGGCGAUCUUGGCGUGUGCUUCGGAGAGAAACGGUUAUGGAAGUGGCAGAGAAGACAGCACCACAAGCUCCUUUCAGUCUCGGAGCCACACUUACGCACUCUUAAAGCAGCAGAUGGAGGUAGCUGCUAAAUCUGAGGAUUACAAAGAAGCCGCUAGGAUUCGAGACUCACUCAAGCUGUUUGAGGAGGAGGAGCCUGUUUUGCGUUUAAGGAGAUUGCUCAAGGAAGCCAUUGCUGAUGAGAGAUUCAAGGAUGCAGCGAAAUACCGUGAUGAACUAAAAAGCAUUGCCCCACAUUCAUUUUUAAAAUGUUCAAGUGAUGCUACAACAUUGGGAAUCAGGGUUCAAGUUAGGAGUAUAUAUAUAGAGGGAAGAAGUCAACCUUCGAAGGGGCUAUACUUCUUUGCAUAUAGAAUAAGAAUCUCCAAUAACUCAGACCAACCUGUUCAACUUCUUAGAAGGCAUUGGAUUAUAACAGAUGGUAAUGGGAAAAUGGAAAAUGUCUGGGGGAGUGGUGUUGUAGGUGAACAGCCAACAAUACUUCCCGGGACUAGUUUUGAAUACUCUUCAGCAUGCCCAUUGAACACACCAAAUGGUAGAAUGGAAGGUGACUUUGAGAUGAUACAUAUUGAUAAAGUAGGCUCAAGAUCGUUUAACGUGGCCAUUGCCCCUUUUUCUCUGUCACUCCUUGGAGAUGAUGAAGGCAAUUCUGUUUGAGACAGAAUUGCAAUACCACUUUCUGAGAGGGCGGCGAAAUUACACUAUAUUCUGUGUUAUUUGUUGACCGAGGUUUGCAUUUUUCUUCUCGACAAUUAUUUGAAGUGGUUGUAAUGAAAAUGGAGAAAAGCAAACAAUGUUAUCACCUUUUGAGGGAUCAUCUCACUAUAUGGAUAUGUUUUGGAUGUGAGCAACCAUGGGCCAAUAUCUAUCCACUUUCAGCAUUGUAUCUGCGCGCCAGGAGUGGAUAAUUUCUGAUCGAUAGUGUGUAUGUUGGGAAGCAAGCUGGAGGAUGAUAUAUGUUGAAAAUACCUAGCUUGAACAAGUUUUCCUGGAAUGACUGAGAAGAGAGAGGUUUAGUGAAAAUAUCGGUAAGUUGAUUAGAUGAAGAGAUGGGAAGAAGUUUCAUGCCAUCAGCUUGAGACUUUUGAUGGACUGGGUGACAAUCAAAUUCAUAGUGAUUGGUUCGUUCAUGGAAAACGAGAAUUACAG